GGAACCAUUAACCGUUGGAGGUCAGCUGUUCAAACGUGUAACCCAUGCAGGGCAUUGCAUCACACUGGGAGUGCAGAAAGAGAUCCAAGCAAAUGGCUCGUGAAGUGUCUUUCUAAAGGUCGAUGGGGAUGUAGAGGGAAGGCUCGGCCGUGAACAUGGAUGCCCUCUGUGGUGAUGUAGUACCAAAGGCUGGGCCUCUGAUGUCUGUCUUAUGAAGUCCUAAACAGAAGUGGGUGAUGUUCUGAGACUCCAGUGAAGUGGAAACUUAAUGGUUCUUUGGUCAUGUCACUGCUGUUGCUAACCUGACUCUGCUGAACUGGACUGCGGGGGGAAUCUGUGAAGUGUUUGCUAGUGGAUGGAGCUGCCACUGCUAACUUGUGAACUGAACUGCCAAUUUCCAGACAACAGAGAUGAGAGUUGCUCCAAAGAACCUUUCUAAACAGCCAUUUGUUGAGCAGGUGUGGAGAAAACACUCAUGUACGCCGCCUCUCCUGCUUCUGAAGCAACAAAGAACACGAAGCAUACGCUGCCCAGUGCUGAGACCUCUGCGCCUUGAACAGCAAAGGGAAAAUGUGUUCUGGAGAGCACUGAAGAGAGAGCAGCUGGGGCGCUUCUAAGCAGUAACGAGAUCAUCAAGUUUCCCUUAAAGUAACUGGUUUCAGAUGCAUUUUGAUGAGGCCAUGCUGUAGGCAGGAUGCGGCUAUUUUAAAAGGCCUGAUGGAGGCUGGGCGACAUUCUUCAUAAACGCCAGUGACGGGGUUCCCUGUUCUCAUGGAGUGUCGGGAUGCUUUGGAAACCCUGUAUGUACUUACGGCGAAUGACCACACCGGGACAGCUUGUCAGGAGGCAGGAGUGACGUCACCUGUCAAUUUCUCUGGCUCAGUUAGCCCUACCCCAAAGGCCCUGCCUGUGCCCUGCAGCACUUUCCCGAAGGGCAGAGGGGCCUUGGAGGAGGAAGCCAUGGUCAACCCCACUGUGUUCUUCGACAUCACGGCCAAUGAUGAACCCUUGGGCCGCGUCUCCUUCGAGCUGUUUGCAGACAAAGUUCCAAAGACAGCAGAAAACUUCCGUGCUCUGAGCCCUGGAGAGAAAGGAUUUGUCUAUAAGGCUUCCUCCUUUCACAGAAUUACUCCAAGAUUCAUGUGCCAGGGUGGGGACUUUACAUGCCAUAAUGGCACUGGCGACCGGUCCAUCUAUGGAGAGAAUUUUGAGGAAUGAGAACUUCAUCUUGAAGCAUACAGGUCCUGGCAUCUUGUCCAUGGCAAAUGCUGGACCAAACACAAAUGGUUCCCAGUUUCCUAUCUGCCCUGUCAAGAUUGAAUGGCUGGAUGGCAAGCAUGUGGUUUUUGGGAAGGGGAAAGAAGGCGUGAACAUUGCGGAAGCCAUUGAGCGUUUUGGGUCUAGGAAUGGCAAGACCAGCAAGAAGAUCACCAUUUCUGACUGUGGACAACUCUAGUUUCUUUUGACUUGCUGGCAUUUUACCCAUCAAGCCAUUCCUUCUGUAGCUCAGGAGAGCGCCCCUACCCCAUCUGCUCGCAUUGUCCUGUCAUCUCUGCUCUCACUGAAGUUCUUUGGGUUUCAUAUUUUCCUCAUUCCCCUUUAAGUUGAGCUGGAUUACAAAGUUAAGUUUAUGAUUAUGAAUAAAAACUAAAGAAGAAAAUAUUCAAAUGUAAUAAAAAAUUAAAAAACCCAA